ensembl:ncRNA lncRNA:CR45805 long non-coding RNA:CR45805
GCCAGUGACUUUUUAUAAAUAAACACGACGGGGCAAAGCGAAAACAAGUUUCAGUCGAAAUCCACACAACUACAUAAGGCCAAAGAGAGCGCACGCUCUUUUUGAAGAGAGAGAGUGAGAGAGAGAGAGAGAGAGAGAGAGAGAGGGGAGACGACCGCAUUCCUAACUGUAAACAAGCAAGAAGCGGAGACACUAUAAAAGUGGGAAAGAGACAAGGCGACAGGCUAAGAAUGCGGCGCUGCUGGAAAAACUCGUUUUUCCCGCUGGAAAAGGAAAAUAUGGAUAAAAAAGAAUUCGAGGAAUUUUCGUGCGAAAGAGAAAGAGAAGUGGUGUAAAAAUAAACAAGAAUCCGAACCCGAUUACGAAUACAUACACAGGGCAACGAAGGAAGAGAAUUGGAAUAGCUGAAAAACAGAGCGGACAAAACAAAAUGCUUGAAAAGCGAAGGGGCAGCUCAAAGCGGACAAGCUGAUACGUAGUAAAACAUACCAACGACGGCAACUUCAAAUGUAAAUAAGUAUAUAAACGAGGUAUGUAAGCGGAUGAGUGUGUGCAACAACAACAGUAAACCUAAUGACAACAAACCGAGCAACAGACAUGCAAGUGAAAGGCCUUUGCGUUGUUUCCCAUCCACUACUCAAGUUAUUUGCAAAAUAAAAACAGCUAAAAGAAGACAAAGUGAUGAACUCGGAUCGGGAGAGAGAGGGGCAUAAUUUUACUUUUGGCUGCUUGCAAGAGAAAAUAAAAUAAAUAAUUCAUUUAUUGGUUGCUGCUAAUAGAUAGCAAUUAAAAGUAAAAGAAACCACAAUAAAUUGUUGUUUAGAAACCAGCUGGAAUCAUUG